rnacentral:rRNA from 1 species
CAGGGACCUUAUCCGCGUACUGGGCGUAAGCGUGCGCAGGCGGUUUUGUAAGUCUGUCGUGAAAGCCCCGGGCUCAGCCUGGGAAUUGCGAUGGAGACUGCAAGGCUUGAAUCUGGCAGAGGGGGGUAGAAUUCCACGUGUAGCAGUGAAAUGCGUAGAGAUGUGGAGGAACACCGAUGGCGAAGGCAGCCCCCUGGGUCAAGAUUGACGCUCAUGCACGAAAGCGUGGGGAGCAAACAGGAUUAGAUACCCUGGUAGUCCACGCCCUAAACGAUGUCUACUAGUUGUCGGGUUUUAAUUAACUUGGUAACGCAGCUAACGCGUGAAGUAGACCGCCUGGGGAGUACGGUCGCAAGAUUAAAACUCAAAGGAAUUGACGGGGACCCGCACAAGCGGUGGAUGAUGUGGAUUAAUUCGAUGCAACGCGAAAAACCUUACCUACCCUUGACAUGUCAGGAACCUCCGAGAGAUCGGGGGGUGCCCGAAAGGGAGCCUGAACACAGGUGCUGCAUGGCUGUCGUCAGCUCGUGUCGUGAGAUGUUGGGUUAAGUCCCGCAACGAGCGCAACCCUUGUCAUUAGUUGCUACAUUCAGUUGAGCACUCUAAUGAGACUGCCGGUGACAAACCGGAGGAAGGUGGGGAUGACGUCAAGUCCUCAUGGCCCUUAUGGGUAGGGCUUCACACGUCAUACAAUGGUACAUACAGAGGGCCGCCAACCCGCGAGGGGGAGCUAAUCCCAGAAAGUGUAUCGUAGUCCGGAUCGCAGUCUGCAACUCGACUGCGUGAAGUUGGAAUCGCUAGUAAUCGCGGAUCAGCAUGUCGCGGUGAAUACGUUCCCGGGUCUUGUACACACCGCCCGUCACACCAUGGGAGCGGGUUUUACCAGAAGUAGGUAGCUUAACCCGCAAGGAGGGCGCUUACCACGGUAGGAUUCGUGACUGGGGUG